AUUUAAAUAGCUUAAAUUUAAAGCGUAACAUUGAAGAUGUUAGUAUGAUAGUAUUAUCUUUAAAUA
rnacentral:tRNA from 1 species